UGCAUGUUUACGUAUUGUUUUAAUUUCUCCUCUACAGUCAACACUCACUGUCAUCACUAACUUGUCACGUGACAAAUCAAAUCUUCAGUUAAUUUGGCCAAAUCAGAUCACUUCAAGCUGUUCACACCAAGAGCAAGAACUAUAAUGAUAACUAUUUUAACCGCUUAUUUUUCAUACUAACAUACAAUAACAUUUUGUUUAUUAUGAGUGUGUGCUGCAGUUAUGUUGUCUGCAUUUACAUGCUCAGGCUAUUUACAGUCUGAUGGAUUUUUAUUGGCUCUCAAUGUUUUUAUUUUUCAUCAUCUGGAAGAAUUUGUUCUGAAAGAGAUUCCAACCAUAUUGUUUCUCUGUGUCAUUUCAUGUUAAAUAGCUGCAUUGUGGACUCAUCCUUGGUGUGAAGAGGCCUUUAAACUGCUUACAACAAAAUCGUCAGCAGGUAGAAACUGAGAGUUCACAUGAUGGCCUUUUCUCAGACUCUGAAUCUGAUGUGUACAGAUGAACUCAGGAGCCUGCUGGAGUUGCCAGGGAAAUUGAGCUUGAAGUGUAUAACUAUAACUGCUUGUUUUAUGUUUAAACAACAAUAAUGAUUUCCACUGCUCCUAGAAUUAGCAAAUCAACUGUGGCAUCGUCUCUGGAAUUUGGGCAGGAAAUGACCGAAUAUGGAGGAUGAAGCCAGUUGAUGAAGAGAUCAAUUCAAUGGCCACCAGGUGCGGCACUGCAGCCUGAACCCAUCAGGUAUCUGCUGUGAAGACUGCAUUCACGGACUGCUCUACUGUGACAGCUCAGAUUUUACGGUGCAUAAAAGUAAACUUCACAACUGAUCAACAAGAGAUGUGGAGGGAUUCUUUUGGCCCAUACCUCCAACAGGAAUCAAUGGACAUCUACAUCAGGUGGUGUGUGAGGAAAGCACAGAGACUCCAGCCUGCAUGGAUCCCUCUCAUUGUUACCAUCAGGCAGAAGUUAUUGCAGAAUCUACACCAGCAGACUGCGAGACAAGUUCUUUCCACAGGCAAUCAGACUGAACUGAACUCAUACCAGUAACACCACACACAGCACAUCAACCUCAUAUGUACUGCCCUGUAACAAUUACACUGUCUGCCCUCUGACUCACUAUUAUUCUGCGCCGUGACAUUCUGUUUGCACUAAUUCAUACCGUACUGCACUGUCAUUAUUGUUUAUCAUUGUUUUCAUUUUGUGCUCACUGUAUAGCACAAUAUUUAGCAUAUAUCGUUCUCUG